GUAUGUGGCUCAGUGGUAGAUCACUAGCCUAGCAUGCACAAAUCCUGGGUUCAAUUCCCAGCACUGCA
rnacentral:tRNA from 1 species